rnacentral:rRNA from 1 species
AUGGCGCGUAUAAAUUUUGGUGUUAUCACCCUGAUCCCAUAAGUAGUUGGGGCGACGGACAUUCGCCAAUUCAGACCUAUCACAGUUAUCAACGUCCUGGAGCGCAUCUUCUCUAAAGUCUGCACGAUUAGACUCGGACUGGUAGUCGAGAGGAUGAACCACCCACUUCAGACAGCCUUCUUGAAAGGGAGACGAAUUCAUGACGAGGUUGUGUCCCUGCAUGAGAUUGUGCACGAGUUACGAUCGCGUGGACAAAAGAGUGUCUUCCUCAAGCUGGAUUUCCAGAAAGCCUAUGAUCGGCUAGAUUGGGAUUUCUUGCGGCUCGUUAUGCAGCGCAGAGGCUUUGAGGACAAAUGGUGCAACUGGAUUAUGCAGUUGGUACGGUCUGCCAAGACUGCGAUUUACAUUAACGGUGAUGUGGGGCCGUUCUUCUCAUCCUCUGCGGGAGUGAAGCAAGGGGAUCCGAUACCCCCCUACUCUUCAAUCUCGCCGUGGACGCUCUGGCAGGCAUCCUGGACAAAGCUAGGAGGGUCGACCACCUCUCGGGAGUUGCUAGUGUUGGGAAUCGAAGCAGAAUUUUAA